UGCAGACAGUCCGCACCUGCACCUCAUCAGCCUCCUCUUCUGCCUGCCACACCUGCCAGCAAUCAGCCUCAUCUCUCCAGUACUUCAACCCCGGUUCUCCACACAAUCACUGCUUGAUCGUCAUUGCUCCUAACCUGGUUCACUCACCUCUGUCCUCUGUUGUGUCAGCUGGGCUCACCACCCUGCCCUCUCCCCUGGGACCUCCUCCACGGCUCUUCCCCGUGCCCCCCAGCUCACCUGUCUCAGUCUCCUCCGUUCCCCGCACCCAUGUUUCCCCGGCAUCUGCCUCUCCCUCCCCCUCAACCCCUUUUUUCCCUUUAAUAAAACCUGUUCAUCCUGA